rnacentral:rRNA from 1 species
CCUACGGGGGGCAGCAGUGAGGAAUAUUGGUCAAUGGACGAGAGUCUGAACCAGCCAAGUAGCGUGAAGGAUGACUGCCCUAUGGGUUGUAAACUUCUUUUAUAUGGGAAUAAAAUGUUCCACGUGUGGGAUUUUGUAUGUACCAUAUGAAUAAGGAUCGGCUAACUCCGUGCCAGCAGCCGCGGUAAUACGGAGGAUCCGAGCGUUAUCCGGAUUUAUUGGGUUUAAAGGGAGCGUAGGGGGAUUGUUAAGUCAGUUGUGAAAGUUGGCGGCUCAAC